UACACUGAGUGGAGGGGUUUUACACACACCCACAAUAACAACAGGAUGUGGAUAAUAACAAGGCCGACACAGAGAAAGAGGGAACGUCUCCUUUUCCUCUAUGUAGUGGAAGUUCAGACUGACAUGCUGCUGACACCUUUACACUGAGUGGAGGGGUUUUAUACACACCCACAAUAACAACAGGAUCUGGAUAAUAACAAGGCCGACACAGAGAAAGAGGGAACGUCUCCUUUUCCUCUAUGUAGUGGAAGUUCAGACUGACAUGCUGCUGACACCUUUACACUGAGUGGAGGGGUUUUAUACACACCCACAAUAACAACAGGAUCUGGAUAAUAACAAGGCCGACACAGAGAAAGAGGGAACGUCUCCUUUUCCUCUAUGUAGUGGAAGUUCAGACUGACAUGCUGCUGACACCUUUACACUGAGUGGAGGGGUUUUAUACACACCCACAAUAACAACAGGAUCUGGAUAAUAACAAGGCCGACACAGAGAAAGAGGGAACGUCUCCUUUUCCUCUAUGUAGUGGAAGUUCAGACUGACAUGCUGCUGACACCUUUACACUGAGUGGAGGGGUUUUAUACACACCCACAAUAACAACAGGAUGUGGAUAAUAACAAGGCCGACACAGAGAAAGAGGGAACGUCUCCUUUUCCUCUAUGUAGUGGAAGUUCAGACUGACAUGCUGCUGACACCUUUACACUGAGUGGAGGGGUUUUAUACACACCCACAAUAACAACAGGAUGUGGAUAAUAACAAGGCCGACACAGAGAAAGAGGGAACGUCUCCUUUUCCUCUAUGUAGUGGAAGUUCAGACUGACAUGCUGCUGACACCUUUACACUGAGUGGAGGGGUUUUAUACACACCCACAAUAACAACAGGAUCUGGAUAAUAACAAGGCCGACACAGAGAAAGAGGGAACGUCUCCUUUUCCUCUAUGUAGUGGAAGUUCAGACUGACAUGCUGCUGACACCUUUACACUGAGUGGAGGGGUUUUAUACACACCCACAAUAACAACAGGAUCUGGAUAAUAACAAGGCCGACACAGAGAAAGAGGGAACGUCUCCUUUUCCUCUAUGUAGUGGAAGUUCAGACUGACAUGCUGCUGACACCUUUACACUGAGUGGAGGGGUUUUAUACACACCCACAAUAACAACAGGAUGUGGAUAAUAACAAGGCCGACACAGAGAAAGAGGGAACGUCUCCUUUUCCUCUAUGUAGUGGAAGUUCAGACUGACAUGCUGCUGACACCUUUACACUGAGUGGAGGGGUUUUACACACACCCACAAUAACAACAGGAUG